CUUUCCUUUAACAAUAGUCCUGUGAGGCUAAGAAGGAGCAUAAGUAAAACUAGGAAUAGUUUUACACCUCAAAGAUAACAUUGUGCCCUCUUACUCUAACUAGGUAAGAGGUUUUUUUUC
rnacentral:sRNA from 1 species